UGUCUAGUAUAUCAGUGGUUUAGAUAGUCCGUCUGAUAAGCGGGAGGUCGCUGGUUCGAAUCCAGCCUAGACAACCA
rnacentral:tRNA from 1 species